rnacentral:ncRNA from 1 species
GUAACUGCGAAGAAGGAAAGAAGUAGUUAUCGAAGCGGUCUUUCAGAGAGUGUCCGGCAGGUGAGAGGACAUAAGAUCAUCGGUAGUGAAUACAUUCCGGAGCAACUGCCUGAACGAUCAGUAGGGUAAGUCGGGUGCGCCCGUUAAAGCGCAAGUGUCAUGUACACGUUGAGGGAUAUAUCGCGAGGUAUAUCUGAACAUGAGGUGGUACCGCGAAUUUUCGUCCUCUGU